rnacentral:rRNA from 1 species
GUGCCAGCAGCCGCGGUAAUACGUAGGUGGCAAGCGUUAUCCGGAAUUAUUGGGCGUAAAGCGCGCGCAGGUGGUUUCAAAAGUCUGAUGUGAAAGCCCACGGCUCAACCGUGGAGGGUCAUUGGAAACUGGGAGACUUGAGUGCAGGAGAGGAAAGUGGAAUUCCAUCUGUAGCGGUGAAAUGCGUAGAGAUAUGGAGGAACACCAGUGGCGAAGGCGACUUUCUGGUCUGUAACUGACACUGAGGCGCGAAAGCGUGGGGAGCAAACAGGAUUAGAAACCCCAGUAGUCC